UACGAAGGGGCUAGCGUUGCUCGGAAUCACUGGGCGUAAAGCGCACGUAGGCGGAUUGUUAAGUCAGGGGUGAAAUCCUGGAGCUCAACUCCAGAACUGCCUUUGAUACUGGCGAUCUUGAGUCCGGGAGAGGUGAGUGGAACUGCGAGUGUAGAGGUGAAAUUCGUAGAUAUUCGCAAGAACACCAAUGGCGAAGGCGGCUCACUGGCCCGGUACUGACGCUGAGGUGCGAAAGCGUGGGGAGCAAACAG
rnacentral:rRNA from 1 species